UGUUUGGAUUGUCCGGUGAAUUAAGUGUUAAGGUUCCUUAGAUUGGUUUAACCAAUUAAAACUUAAUUUUUGAUAUGUAGGAAAGCAUAAAAAGUGGAAAAUUUGAUAAACUUUCUAAAACUGAAAACAGAAUUUGAUUACCUGUUUUCGUUAAAAAAUGACAGUACAAAAUUUGGAGGAUGUUACAAAAUUAGUUUUCCACUAAAAAAGUAUUUUUCUCGAAUCGGAAAAGGGCUCGUGACCACUUCAUUCUUUAAGGCAUGCCCGGACAAAAAUUAAUCGUAGAUUAUACGAAACAUAAAUAAGGAUCGUCAAAAGUCAAAAUACAAAAUUUCGCGUGGUCAACCCGUCCGCCAGAAGACCAAAACACUGACCGGAAACGUGAAAACCUUUUUAGAGAAAACGCUAACAUAUCCGUUAGCGCUGCACCCCGAAAAUCAAAAAUUUCAAAAACCUAUCUUCGUGAGAUCGAAGCCGAUAAGAAGGGCUUGGAAACUUGCAAAAACUAAAACCGCGGCAAAAUACAAUAAAGGUAAAAUAACCGGAGCUAAGUAAAAUUGUCGAAAACUUUUUGCAAAAAUGGAUAAAAAUUUGACACUUAACUUUGCCGGAAAGUCCAUAUAUAUUGCAGCAUAAUUUGGUAUUUCUCUCUCGUUACGAAUAUUUUGGAUUUACUAGUAUCCACGUCGAUUUUUGCAAUUACAUUAUAUAUUUAAGCGUGACCACACUUCCGGAAAACAAUACAAUCCCUUGCCCCCAACAUCGUGCUAGCCCAUCCACGACGAGCAUGUCAAUGCUUUCGCCACCACAAAGAUAAAAUUUGUAUCGACAAAUUCCCCUUAGGAGAGCAAAAGUGUGCACGGCGUGCUCACCCUCGGAAUUAUUUGCAGAAUUUUCAGCCCUCUGCCUCGUCCAGCUUACUUACAAUUCGAUUCUGGCUCCAUCCAACAACCUAGCCCGGCCAUUUUAAAGAUUUACGUCUUUCCUCCUCACCCACACGCUCUCGUCAUCCUGCACCUCGCCUUCAGUACACGGCCUCCUGUCUCGAUCCCGUCAUCGCGUCGACGCACCACUCCGACUUUAUUCUUUACCUGGGAUUCUUUACACGUUAUUGGAAUCUGUGGCGGAUUCUGGCUCGUCAUCUCGUGCCUCACGCCCCCCUUGUGAUUAAAGUUUGUCCAUUUUGGGAGCUACAUUCUCCUCGGGGGGAUAGCCGUCAUGACGCUCAUCUUCUUGACUGCCAAUUUAAGAGAUUGUGCUCCCUAUGAAAGAGCAGAGACAAAGGGUGCGAGACAAGAGUGAAGAUGGGGACGUUUUGCAAUAAUUUUUUGCAACCGGUGCAGAAUUCAUUUUGAAAAGUAUUUCUAGGCGGAGGUAAUGUUGUAAAUCAACCUGGUUGACGUCCCCUGUUGUCAGAACAGGAAGAGGGUCGUCACAAAA